UACAGAGGUCCCAAGCGUUGUUCGGAUUCACUGGGCGUAAAGGGUGCGUAGGCGGUCGGGUAAGUCUGACGUGAAAUCUUCAAGCUCAACUUGGAACUGACGUCGGAUACUAUUCGGCUAGAGGAAUGGAGGGGAGACUGGAAUACUUGGUGUAGCAGUGAAAUGCGUAGAUAUCAAGUGGAACACCAGUGGCGAAGGCGAGUCUCUGGACAUUUCCUGACGCUGAGGCACGAAAGCGUGGGGAGCGAACAGG
rnacentral:rRNA from 1 species